GUAGCGGCGUUGCUACGCCGACUGGGGAAUGGCUCGGUUCGGGUGCCGAAGAAGGUCGUGCCAAGCUGCGAUAAGCAUCGGGUAGGUGCAAGGAGCCUAUGAUCCGAUGAUAACCUAAUGCGACUUCGUAAUCUUCGGAUUGUUCCGUAAGGAACGGGAACGCGGUGGAUCGAAACAUCCUAGUAACCGCAGGAAAAGAAAUCACUAGAGAUACCGUGAGUAAAGGCGAUCGAAAACGGUACAGGGCAAACCGAAUCCCUAUCAGUAAUGAUAGGGAGAUGUGGAGUUAUGGGCCCGGUUACAUCCUUAAGACGAACCAAAGAUUUGCUGGAAAGCAGUACCAUAGAGGGUGAUAGUCCCGUAUGGAUAAAUCGAGGGGAUGAGUUCCGGUGUCCCUGAGUAACGUGCGUUGGAUAUCGCGCGUGAAUUUGGGAAACAUUCAUUUCCAACCCUAAAUACACCCCGAGACCGAUAGUGCAGUAGUAGCGUGAGUGAAAGCUGAAAAGUACCCUUGACGGGAGGUUCAAAGAGCCUGAAACCAGUCGGCUAUAAAUUGUAUAGGCAUGAAAGGGAAACCAGUGUUUAUACGUCCGUUUCGAAAAACGGGCCAUGGAGUUCUAUUCAAUGGCGAGGCUAAGAGGGUCAUCCUCGGAGCCGUAGGGAAACCAACAAGUCCGCAACCGUAAGGUGAGGGACGAGGUGCGCUCGCCUGGAGUCAUUGGAGGGACACCCGAAGCCAGUUGAUCUAUACCUGGGCAGGUUGAAGCCUUUCGAAAGGAAGGUGGAGGACCGAACCGGUAAUGAUGUGCAAAUCUUUCGGAUAACCUGGGUAUAGGGAUGAAAGGUCAAUCAAAGCUGGAAAUAGCUGGUUCCUCCUGAAACUAAUCGCAGUUAGAUCUCGGUCGAGGUCGAUCGUGUGGUAGAGCACUGAUCGGGGGCUUAGGGGGAGAAAUCCCUCGGCCCCCUGUCAAACUCCGAACAUGUGGUCACCGUAGACACCGGGAGUGAGGGCAUGCGGGGUAAGCUUCAUGUCCAUCAGGGAACGUAACCCAGCCAAUAAUUAAGGUCCCUAAGUUUCGGUUAAGUGUAAUAACAAAGGGAGUCUGUAGUCCAAGACAACUGGGAGGUGAGCUUAGAAGCAGCCAUCCUUAAAAGAAAGCGUAACAGCUCACCAGUCGAGAUUAUAGGCCCCGAAAAUGGACGGGGCUAAACCGAACACCGAUAUUAUUGAGCACCGCAAGGUGAUCUGGUAAGGAGGUGACAGGCGUGGGUAGAAGCUAGGCCGUGAGGUCUGGUGGACCGCGUUUGUAUAAGGAUCAUGGCAGGAGUAGCAGCAAAGAAUGGUGAGAAUCCAUUCCGCCGUAGGGGCCAGGGUUCCUCGGCAAUGUUCGUCAGCCGAGGGUUAGCCGAUCCUAAACUAUUACUUAAUCGGAAAUAGUGAAAGGGAAACAGGUUAAUAUUCCUGUGCCGCGUCAGAUUUUGCAUCGUUCUUGACACAUCGGGAUAAAUGGAGCAAUCUUGUCUGGUUGUUCAAGUAUAUAAACUGAGGAAGAACCGUAAUGGUGUGAACUUGGUGAAAGUACGAGUAGGAGGACGAAAGUCCUCUUCUGUCUAAUCCUGGUGUCCGUGAAAAUUGAACGAUUUACACCUGAUGCGUUCGUACCAAGAACCGACACAGGUGCCCCUAGAUUAAAAGUCCAAGGCGUGUCGGCCUAAUCGAUGCGAGGGAACUCGGCAAAUUAGCCCCGUAACUUCGGGAUAAGGGGUGCCAGCCACGAGAGUGGCUGGUCGCAGUGGCAAGGGAACUCCGACUGUUUAAUAAAAACACAGAUCGCUGCAAGUCCGAAAGGAUGUGUAUAGCGGUUGAAGCCUGCCCAGUGACGGUAUCUGAAACUCGGGUCCAACCGAACGAAGGACCGUUAAACGGCGGGGGUAACUAUGACCCUCUUAAGGUAGCGUAAUACCUUGUCGCUUAAUUGGCGACUUGCAUGAAGGCCCAACGAGAG
rnacentral:rRNA from 1 species